ACUUCCUUCAUUGCCUUCUCUCAAGCUUUACUGCUGAGCAUUUACUGGUCAGCAGCCCCCGCUGCGGUAGAUGCAGAACAUAACAGAAGGCUCUGGAGAGUUCCAGGCCCUGCAGAACCCACAUGUAUCUCCAGAUAGAAGCUCCGGGAAGAAGAUAAGGAAGCCACCUACCAAAAGUCAUCACUUUAAAAAAUUAACUCCAAGACAGAAAGUAGAACCGUUGAUGAAAAAAAACAGAAGUUAUUCUCCACCCUACAGUUAUUUCUAAGGUAACACUGAAAAUGUAAGUCGACUGUCGAGUGAUUUAUCUUUUAGGUUACGCGAUAUGCAGAGAUGACCGCCGUCACAUGAAUACAGCGAAGCGGUACUUAAAUGAUGGAAACUGACUUAGAAAGAUCUUAAAGUUCCCAAAAUAACUGAAAAGUGCCUUCUACUGUUAACUCCUGAGAUCAUGGUCUGUGUACAUCAAGCCAUCUGACUAGGACCCUAAAAGGUUCCAAGAGGUUAAAUGAUCCCGCAACACCCACCUGCAGACUGAGCGUUGUUUAAGCCGGGGAGACUCCCAGACUUGGAAAAGCUCUCUAAUGACAGCAAAUGCCACGUGCCAAGGAGCUACCUUUCAGCGGUGGUUACUAUGGUCCUCCAGAUGUUCUCCACUCAUCCUACAUGCUUGACAACAGCCCCUUCUCCUGAGGAGGUAAAGGCCCACCAACAGCACCCAUCCUGCCGACUUCCUAGAAACCCCAGGCCACAGACAUGUUGGCCGCCUCCUAUUUUUUUCCCAAUGCAUAAUACUAUCUACUAGCAAAAAUAAGUAUUUUCAAGUAAGCGAGUGGCAGGGGAAGCAAGAAGGCAGGCUGUGGGUGGAACCCCUCCGCCUCCAGGAGCCUCCAGCUCCCCACUUUUCCUGUUCUGCCUGGGAAGCUACUCCAAGUUCGUAUUUCUUGCUCCCUCCUUGAAGCCCUCUCUCCAGCUUGGCUUCCUGGGCCAACCCAGAUCCUUGCAAAAAGCACUUGCAGGGCUGGGCCCACUUCCUCACUGGGCCCAUGACUGUUCCCGGGCCAUGCUGAGAGACCCUCCAGAAUCAGAAGGCAGCAAUGUCCUCCCAGCUGCUGUGCUGGCACCUGGCUUGGGGAGGGGAGGCUGAAGAGCUGGGGCCCAUUACAGCAGCAGGUGACCCGGGAAACCUUUUCACAGCCCUGCUAACGGGAGUGAGUGGAGUGGCAGGGGUUAAUUGGGACAGAUUGUUAAAUGAAGCAAUAGGAAAACGAGCAGGAGUGUCAGAGGGCAUGGUGCGCCUGUGUGAGAGUGGCAGGAGCCUUCUGAGUCACUUCUGAGACCUGUGUUCCAGGAUGCAUGCUCUCAACAAGAUGGCCUUUGGGCUCUGAGGUGGGCUGCUUCAUUCAUCUGUGGGCAUCCUUAUUCAUAUGAAUUAAGGCUGAGAAUUUUCCUCAGAUGAAAUUACUUUUUUUUUGAGAUGGAAUCUCACUCUGUCACCCAGGCUGGAGGGCCGUGGUGUGAUCUCGGCUCACUGCAACCUCUGCCUCCCGGGUUCGAGCGAUUCUCCUGCCUCAGCCUCCCGAGUAGCUGGGAUUACAGGCACACGCCACCAUGUCCAACCAAUUUUUUUAUUUGGAAUAAGAGAUGGGGUUUCACCAUAUUGGCCAGGCUGGUCUCAAACUUCUGACCUCAGGUGAUGUAUCCACCUCAACCUCCCAAAGUGCUGGGAUUACAGGCGUGAGCCACUGUGUCCGGCCGAAACUACUUUUGAUGAUCAAACCAUAGCAUAUCACUUAGGCGAGAAAUAAAAUUCAACUAAAAAAAAAGCUAAUCUAGCACAUCGACUUAGGCAAUGCUGUCCACGAUUAAUUGGGCCUAAGGUGCUUUAAUAUAUAAUGCUUAAAUUUAUAGCAUACUUUUUCUUCUGUGUUAAAUGAGGGAACUGAAUUAGCUGGCUUUAAAGAUGCCUUCCAAUUCUAACAGUCUACGAUUCAACCUGAAGGGGAGUAAAAAGGACAAUAAAAUACGCAGUCAGGCCUCAUUAUUGACAGAUGCUGCAUUUGCAUAUUCAUCUAGUGGCAAACAUUUAUUUCUAUCCCCCAAACCAACACCUGUGGCACUUGGCAUCAUGUGCAGGAGAUGUGCGCACAGGGUUAAGAUACGAGUCUCCCAAUGAGCACACUCCCAGGAGAGGUCAAACAAGGCAACACCUUGUUGAUGCAGCUCUCAUGCAGUAAACAAGCGCCCAUUUCUGGCCAGGUGUGGUGGCUCAUGCCUAUAGUCCCAGCACUUUGGGAGGCCGAGGCGGGUGGAUCACAAGGUCAAGAGAACGAGACCAUCCUGGUCAACAUGGCGAAACCCUGUCCCUACUAAAAAUACAAAAAAUUAGCUGGGCAUGGUGGCACGUGCCUGUAAUCCCAGCUACUCAGGAGGCUGAGGCAGGAGAAUUGCCUGAACCCAGGAGGCAGAGGUUGCGGUGAGCCGAGAUGGCGCCAUUGCACUCCAGCCUGGGUAACAAAAGCGAAACUCCGUCUCAAAAAAAAAAAUACAAAGAUUAGCCGGGUAUGGUGGCAUGUGCCUGUAUCCCAGCGACUCGGGAGACUGAGGCAGGAGCAUUGUGUGAACCUGGGAGGUGGCAGUUGCAGUGAGCUGAGAUUGUGCCACUGCACUCCAGAUUGGGUGACAGAGCAAGACUAUCUCAAAAAAAAACAAAAAAACAAGUGUGUGUUUCACAGUGUAUUUAGUGCCACAUUUGUCACAUUUUUGUGCUGUUUUUUGUCUUUUAGAGACAGGGUCUCGCUCUGCCACCCAGGAUGGAGUGCAGUGGUGUGAUCCUAGCUCACUGGAGUUGAACUCCUGGGCUCAAGCACUCUUCCCACCUCAGCCUUCCAAGUAGCUGGGACUACAAGUGUGAACCAUGAUGCCUGCCUCUGUGCUUUUCUUUUGGUGAAUUCACUGUUUGAAAUGGCCCCACGUGCAGUGCUGAAGCACUGUCUAGUGUCCCUAAGUAUGAGAUGGCUAAGAUGUGCCUUAUGGAGAAAACACAUGUGUUAGACAAUGUGUUUUCACACCAUUUUUCCAGCAAUGAGCACUAGUGCUGUCAGCCGUGAGUCUCAAGUUAAUGAAUCCAUCAUCUAUGUUAAAUAAGCUGUCUUUAAACAUACACAGAAAACAAGGUCUGUAUUCAUAGGCUGGCAAAAAUGUUGUGACCAGAGGCUCACAGGAACUUAACCCUGGAUCUCUCCUAGGAACAAUGCUUCAGUAUUUGCUAAUUCAGUGCUCGUGGUGACUUUGUAGAACUGGGCCGUGAAUAGCAAGAAUCAACUGUACUCAAAUUCAAAUCCUAAUUUUAGAACUAAGUAGCCUUUCCAAUUUGGGGAAAAUAAGUUUGCUUCAGAACUAAGGCAGGAAGGAGAAGGGCUGCAGGGACACAGGCCACUGGUUAAGUUUGCCUGCAAGGGGUACCAGGAGGCAGGACAAAUGUGGUGGGCCCAGUAUGGUGACCCCCAGGGUAGGACCACACAGCACUCCACAAGGUUUCUCAGGAUGCCCAGGCAUGCUCUAAAUAACAAUAGCACAAGAGAAGAAACCAGAAGUAAGGGCCUCCUGUGGUACCCAGGUAUGCACAGAGGUCAGAUGCCCUGGAGGGAGAGGCUGGGUAUGGUGAGAAGGGGAUGGGAGAGUGGCAGAAAUCUGCAUAAUCCUGAGACAGCCCAAAGAGAGGAAGGGCUUUUUUACCUUCCUAAAAAGAUGUCAAACCAGGCCUGGUGCUUGUGCACAGCAGGGAGCUGGGCGGACCUGUGUCUGAUCUGCACAGGCACUCCGUCAGGCCCCUGGGGUCCUGGCCUCAACUGCUUGCCCAGCUGACCUGCUACAGAUGAGCCACCGGCAGCUGUGCUCUUUAGCACUGGACCCUCUAGGCAGCCAGGAUCAGGGUACUUUCUAUCAUCCCUGGAGGCGGUGUCCCCAGCCAGCAGGAGACACGGAGGUCAAGGAGAUAAGGUCUAUCUGGCGGGUGGGCAGGUUGCUCCACUUGGCUCAGUACUGCCUGAGUUCCUGCCCGGAGGGCCAAGGUGAACUCUGGAGACGAGCAGCCUGAGGAUCAGCUCAACCCCGCAGCACCCCGACUCUGGGCCUAAGUUCUUCGCUCCUUCGUGCCUCCAUUUCUUCCUCUAUGAAAUCGGGAUAAAGAUAGUACCCUAGUCUCGUAUGUUUACUGGGGAUUUCAGUGUAAAGUGCUUAGAGCAAUGCCUGGCAUAGAGUAAGUGCCGUUAUAGACGCAUUCCAUUAUCUAUCACCCACAGCCAUAUGUCUUUAUAAAUAGAGUUUCAAAAUGACCACCAUACGCAGUCUAGUUUAACGAAAUUCCAGCAGAGUAGGUGGUAUGUGGAUAAUCCAGAGGUCAUUCCGGAACAUCUACAGAAAGAUGACCUGCUCUGCAGAUAGCCCUUGACAGUCAACGCAACACACUGGGUUUUGGGUGUGAGGCGUCCUGUGUGGAUGUGUGAGAGAGUUCCUUCAAAGGCAGGCCAAGCUAAACUGUAAGCUCUGUCUGGACAGCAGCCUUCCAAACCAGCAAAAAUGAGAGACGUGCAGGGAGGUUCUUACUGCUUCGUGUUGGUUUAAAAGACCCUGUUGGUGCAGUCUUCCCAGCACUGAGGUGGGAGUCAUGCAUAUCACAGACUGUUUCCCAGGAGCCUGGAUUUUCAAAGCAGCGAGAGAAGUACUGACGAGAAAAAUCAAGAGGCAAACAGUAUGUUUAAUAGCUGGGCCUCUAUUUAAUUCAUUGUAAUAAUACUAAGCCUAAUUUUCUCUUUCACUUGAAGGAAAGCUAUACAAAUAUCAA